UACGUAGGGUGCAAGCGUUAAUCGGAAUUACUGGGCGUAAAGCGUGCGCAGGCGGUUUUUGUAAGUCUGAUGUGAAAAUCCCCCGGGGCUCAACCUGGGGAAUUGCAUUGGAGACUGCAAGGCUAGAGUGUGGCAGAGGAAGGUGGAAUUCCACGUGUAGCGGUGAAAUGCGUAGAGAUGUGGAGGAACACCGAUGGCGAAGGCAGCCUUCUGG
rnacentral:rRNA from 1 species